rnacentral:tRNA from 1 species
AUUAAUUUGGCAGAUUAUAAGUGCAAUAAAUUUAGGAUUUAUAUAUGUUGAUUAUUCAUCAGUUAAUA